UACGUAGGGGGCAAGCGUUAUCCGGAUUUACUGGGUGUAAAGGGUGCGUAGGCGGACUGUUAAGUCAGCGGUAAAAGCCCGGGGCUCAACCCCGGCGAGCCGUUGAAACUGAUGUUCUUGAGUGGGCGAGAAGUAUGCGGAAUGCGUGGUGUAGCGGUGAAAUGCUUAGAUAUCACGCAGAACCCCGAUUGCGAAGGCAGCCUUCCGGCGCCCUACUGACGCUGAGGCACGAAAGUGCGGGGAUCGAACAGG
rnacentral:rRNA from 1 species